CCUACGGGAGGCAGCAGUGGGGAAUCUUGCGCAAUGGGCGAAAGCCUGACGCAGCGACGCCGCGUGCGGGAAGAAGGCCUUCGGGUUGUAAACCGCUUUCAGGAGGGACGAAGCCACUCGGGUUAAUAGCCUAGAGGGUGACGGUACCUCCAGAAGAAGCCCCGGCUAACUACGUGCCAGCAGCCGCGGUAAUACGUAGGGGGCUAGCGUUGUCCGGAUUUAUUGGGCGUAAAGAGCGUGUAGGCGGCCAUGUAGGUCCGGUGUGAAAACUCGAGGCUUAACCUCGAGAUGUCAUCGGAAACCAUUUGGCUAGAGUCCGGAAGAGGAGAGUGGAAUUCCUGGUGUAGCGGCGAAAUGCGCAGAUAUCAGGAAGAACACCAAUGGCGAAGGCAGCUCUCUGGGACGGUACUGACGCUGAGACGCGAAAGCGUGGGGAGCGAACAGGAUUAGAUACCCUGGUAGUCCACGCCGUAAACGAUGGGCGCUAGGUGUGGGCGGUGUCGACUCCGUCCGUGCCGAAGCUAACGCAUUAAGCGCCCCGCCUGGGGAGUACGGCCGCAAGGCUAAAACUCAAAGGAAUUGACGGGGGCCCGCACAAGCAGCGGAGCAUGUGGUUUAAUUCGACGCAACGCGAAGAACCUUACCUGGGCUUGACAUGUGGAUGACCGGCCUGGAAACAGGUCUUCCCUUCGGGGCAUCUUCACAGGUGGUGCAUGGCUGUCGUUAGCUCGUGUCGUGAGAUGUUGGGUUAAGUCCCGCAACGAGCGCAACCCCUGUCCUAUGUUGCCAGCGAGUAAUGUCGGGGACUCAUAGGAGACUGCCGGUGACAAACCGGAGGAGGGGGGGACGACCCCCCGCCCCCUCGCCCUUCUUUUCUGGUUCUCCCGUUUCCUUCGCCCCGUUCUCGGUUGCAAU
rnacentral:rRNA from 1 species